rnacentral:rRNA from 1 species
CAUGUAGGCGGCAUGACAAGUCUGGUGUGAAAUAUCUCGGCUCAACCGAGAAAACGCACUGGAAACUGUCAAGCUUGAGUAUCGGAGGGGAAGCUAGAAUUCCUGGUGUAGGGGUGAAAUCUGUAGAUAUCAGGAAGAAUACCGGUGGCGAAGGCGAGCUUCUGGCCAGAUACUGACGCUGAGAUGCGAAAGCGUGGGGAGCGAACAGGAUUAGAUACUGGUAGUCC